rnacentral:rRNA from 1 species
CAGUCGCCGCGGGAAUACGUAGGUGGCAAGCGUUGUCCGGAAUUAUUGGGCGUAAAGGGCUCGCAGGCGGUUUCUUAAGUCUGAUGUGAAAGCCCCCGGCUCAACCGGGGAGGGUCAUUGGAAAUUGGGAAACUUGAGUGCAGAAGAGGAGAGUGGAAUUCCACGUGUAGCGGUGAAAUGCGUAGAGAUGUGGAGGAACACCAGUGGCGAAGGCGACUCUCUGGUCUGUAACUGACGCUGAGGAGCGAGAGCGUGGGGAGCGAACAGGAUUAGAUACCCCCGUAGUCCCUGUCUCUUAUAC